AGUUCUCAACCAUGAUCAUCAUGGCUUGGACUUGGGGGUCUGCUGAAGCCUGCUCAGCUCUCCUGAAACAUAUUAGCGAUGAGUCCUAGUCUCUUUGGUGUGAUAAUGAUCAUCAUGGAGGCUCACUUCGAUUCGCUUCUAACGGAAUGUGGAACGCUAGCUAGCUAGUUACUAGUCUUGGUCCUGGACUGGACCUUGGCGAACACAGCUCUCAUGUGUGUCCCACCUUGAA
rnacentral:misc_RNA from 1 species